rnacentral:rRNA from 1 species
UAUUGCUCUUAAACGAGGAAUCCCUAGUAAGUGUGAGUCAUCAGCUCACGUUGAUUACGUCCCUGCCCUUUGUACACACCGCCCGUCGCUACUACCGAUUGAAUGGCUUAGUGAGACUCUCGGAUUGGAGUGAAGGAACCGGCAACGGAUCCUUUUUUCUGAGAAGUUUGUCAAACUUGGUCAUUUAGAGGAAGUAAAAGUCGUAACAAGGUUUCCGUAGGUGAACCUGCGGAAGGAUCAUUAAAAUUUUUAUAUUCAAAAAUUUCCAACCUAAACUUAAAUAGUUCAGUAAAUCAAUCGAGAUUUAAAUAAUGACAACUUUUAACAACGGAUCUCUUGGCUCUUGCAUCGAUGAAGAACGCAGCGAAAUGCGAUAAGUAAUGUGAAUUGCAGAAUUCCGUGAAUCAUCAAAUCUUUGAACGCAAAUUGCACUCUUUGGUAUUCCGAAGAGUAUGCUUGCUUGAGGGUUGUUUAAAUAAAUUCGUAUUUUUUAUACGGAUCUGAGUCGUCCAAAAUUUUUAAAUUUUGGUAACUUAAAAUUUAACUUGACGAUAUUAUAUUAUUAGAAAUGUUUUAUCUUGCAUAUUUUGUAAGUUUCAUUAAUAAUUAUUAUAAUUAAUCGUUAUAUCGUUAUUUAUUUACCUAGUUAUUUCGGAAUUAGGUUAAGUAAUACAAAUUUUUUUUUCAACCUCAAGUCAAGUAAGAGUACCCGCUGAACUUAAGCAUAUCAAUAAGCGGAGGAAAAGAAACUAACAAGGAUUUCCUUAGUAACGGCGAGUGAAGUGGGAAAAGCUCAAAUUUUAAAUCACCAAGGUUUCUUUGGUGAAUUGUAAUUUGAAGAAAGUCGUUUUGAUAUUCGGGUUUUAUCCAAGUCCUUUGGGAUAAGGUAUCAUAGAGGGUGAGAAUCCCGUUCAUGAUUAAACCUUGAUGUCACUUAAUUCACUUUCUAAGAGUCGAGUUGUUUGGGAUUGCAGCUCAAAAUGGGUGGUAAAUUUCACCUAAGGCUAAAUAUAUGCAAGAGACCGAUAGCGAACAAGUACCGUGAGGGAAAGAUGAAAAGAACUUUGAAAAGAGAGUUAAAUAGUACGUGAAAUUGUUGAAAGGGAAACGAUUGAAGUCAGUCAUGCUAGUAGGGAAUCAACUUGAUGGAUCGUAGGACUUAUCUUAUGAUCUUUCUUGUGCACUUUCUUGCUUGGCAGGUUAGCAUCAAUUUCGGGUAUCAUUAAAAAAUCGAGGGAAUGUAGCUUUCUUUCGGGAAAGUGUUAUAGACCUUGAUAAAAUGUGGUGACCGAGAUUGAGGAUUGCAGCGGAUACCUCUUAAGGCUAGUCACCUUGCUUCUGACGGUUACCCUGCUUUCGAGAGCUCGCUCACGAUUGUGGGAUUCAACAGUCUAGAUGUUAGAGUGAUCUUAAAUUCGCUAAGGAUGCUGACGUAAUGGCUUUAAACGACCCGUCUUGAAACACUGACCAAGGAGUCUAACAUAUGUGCGAGUGUUU